rnacentral:rRNA from 1 species
UAGGGAAUCUUCCACAAUGGACGCAAGUCUGAUGGAGCAACGCCGCGUGAGUGAAGAAGGUUUUCGGACCGUAAAGCUCUGUUGUUGGUGAAGAAGGAUAGAGGUAGUAACUGGCCUUUAUUUGACGGUAAUCAACCAGAAAGUCACGGCUAACUACGUGCCAGCAGCCGCGGUAAUCGUAGGUGGCAAGCGUUGUCCGGAUUUAUUGGGCGU